GAUGAACGCUAGCUACAGGCUUAACACAUGCAAGUCGAGGGGAAACGAUAUUGGAAGCUUGCUUCCGAUAGGCGUCGACCGGCGCACGGGUGAGUAACGCGUAUCCAACCUGCCCAUCACUUGGGGAUAACCUUGCGAAAGUAAGACUAAUACCCAAUGACGUCUCUAGAAGACAUCUGAAGGAGAUUAAAGAUUUAUCGGUGAUGGAUGGGGAUGCGUCUGAUUAGCUUGUUGGCGGGGUAACGGCCCACCAAGGCGACGAUCAGUAGGGGUUCUGAGAGGAAGGUCCCCCCACAUUGGAACUGAGACACGGUCCAAACUCCUACGGGAGGCAGCAGUGAGGAAUAUUGGUCAAUGGACGAGAGUCUGAACCAGCCAAGUAGCGUGCAGGAUGACGGCCCUAUGGGUUGUAAACUGCUUUUAUAAGGGAAUAAAGUGAGUCUCGUGAGACUUUUUGCAUGUACCUUAUGAAUAAGGACCGGCUAAUUCCGUGCCAGCA
rnacentral:rRNA from 1 species